CGACAAAUAGGCUGUGUCCCAAUUCCUAGGACGCAUCCUUCGAAGGCUGCAUUCGAAGGAUGCGUCGACGCCGAUUGCGUCACAGCGUCGCGCCAAGUGCUGUCCCAAUUCCAAGGGUCCUUCAAAUGCGGCCUACGAAUGCAGCCUUCUUUUCCCGGAUUUGAAGGAUGCAUCGGCUGUAUCCUUCACGGCCCAACGUAUCCCAAGAUCCUUCACGGCCCAACGUAUCCCUCCCAAGAUUCAUUGCGCAUUCAAUCAAUGGAGAUGGCGGAGAAUGGCGAUUUAGGUUCUGCAUUUAAAUGGGGCCAGCAGCAUACUGCUCGAUUUAUUCUAUUGAGGGGGGAGAACGAUGAGCAAGUGUGGCUUGGGGGACAAUUCUGGAGAAAAUAGGCCUGCAGGGGAAGGUGACUCCCCUGCAGGCAAAGAAAAAAAUGGGACAAUUUAAAAAAUAUAUAUAAAGAUUGCAAGUAUCCAGGGUCAGGAGAGGGGGUAGGUGGGAAACCCGGUGCUGCCACUUGGCCCUGGUUUGUCCUCAUGGAUGAGGUAUUGGGACAGAGGCAUUCCACCAACCCCCCUGUCCAAAUUGCCUCCAUCCCUGAGAACACACCAGGGCCAAGUACAGCAAGUACAGCAGUGGUGGGUCAGGAGGUGGAGGACAAGGAUCAGGAGGAGGAAAGACAGCGAGGGCCAAGGUCCAGAAAGAGGGACAGAGAUGAAGACAUGUUCCAGAGUCGCUCACUAUCUUCCGAAAAGGACUCAAGACUCACCUGUUCAGAGUCCACCUCGACUGCAUAGCCACCCUCCCCCUUCUGGCAACCAUUGUACACUGUGUUGUAUUGUAUUGUAUUAUAGUACUUAACUGUGUAGCAACUGCAGUAGCUGCUAUCAUGGCUGUAACACGGGGAAUUGAUUAGCCUAGCGAUUGUGGUACUUGCACUUGGUUCUAUGAACAUCCUUUCUGUACCGACAGCGAUAUAUUGAUGCACUUCUUAUGACAAAUGUACUUAUUGUAAAUCGCUUUGGAUUAAAGAUUAAAGCGUCUGCUAAAUGCCCUAAAUGUAAAUGUAAAAUGUAAAUGUUCCAGUUAAUAAAAGAGGACAUGAGGCUACAAAGGGGGGAGGCAGAGGAGAGAAGAGCCCAGGGAAAGAAUGGAUAGGUUUUUCUAAUUUUUGGAGUGUUUGGUGGACAAAUAACUUAUGUUCUGUUAUAUUUAAAAGAUUGUUUAUUAUUAUUUACAUAUUUAUUGAAACUAACUUAUUUAACUAACUAUUUAACUAACUUUUUUGAUUAACUAUUUACUAAAACCCUUACUAACUUUUUUGUAUUGACUAAUGUAUUCGUAUAUAACUUAUAAAACAUAUAUACAACAAUAAAACUAUUUACAACAAACAUU